ACAUUUCCACCUCCGCAAGUAUGGAAGCAAAGAACCUUGGAGAAGGGGCCAAAUCUCAAACACAAACCUUUAUAAUUUCCCUUUCAUCAAUCUCUCCAUAAAAACCCUAAACCUCAGCAAUUAGCAAAUAAUUGGAUCUUCAAUUCAAUGGGAUUUUUCAAAAGCACAUUCUCGUUCGUUGUGGGUACGGGUUUCGGAGUGUACUUGGCCCAAAACUACAACGUCCCCAAUAUCCAGAAGCUCGUUAACACUGGCCUUGUCAUCGCCAAGCAUCUUGAAGAGAAUUAUCGUAAACCCAAAAACAGGGCAGAUGAUGAAGAUUUGUAAGCGGUUCUUUACGGCGUCGUUUUUUAAGAACACAGCCGAAUCUCAAAGUAUACUGGAAUUAGCACGACUUGCCAAAGGGAUAAAGAGGAAUUGCAAGGUUACAUCACAUGUACAAUGAGACAGAUACCUGCUGUAAUGAGACAUUCUUGUCAAACUGAUGAUUUCCAACACAAUAUAACAAAAACAAAUCAAAAGAUUUGCUAUUUACCACUGGUCCAAGGAACUUCAUCUGUUUAUGAGCAGUUCAAUAUGUAUGAUGCUAGCAAACUGUCACCAGAUGUUUACCUAAGCCUACAUCCUGCUUAUAUACUGCAAUUGUUGCUGACAGCAGAAAGAGCUCAUUCUCCAUUGGUACCUCUAACAGCCUAUAUCAGCAUAGAAGUGCAAAGUGAUAGAAUGUCUUUUAUCUUUGCGCAGUGAGUGAUACCUAAGUCAUGCAGAUGUAAUUCAUAAUCUUUUACCUCAUUUAGAUAUCUGUUCUGAGCAUUAAUUUUCAGGAUUUCAAUGAAACAAUUUUUUCUUCAUUGGAGAUUAAGCAGAAAACAUAUGCACCAAUACCUAACAAGUGUUUCAGAUAUGCAACCAGUCCCGACCAAGAAAGAAUGAGCGGCUGUUGAAACAAUUUACGUUAUGAAGCAGUGAAGGAAACAGAUAGUAAUUUCUCUGGACAUCUUUGUUCGGUAUUGAUGCAUUUGCACACAUUAAGAUUGAUUUUAGUAUCCAUGUCAUCGAGCAUUAAAUCACUGUUAAGGUUUGGUUGAAUGGUUGUUUACUAGUUUAAAAGACAAUAUUCUGUGCAGGAAAGAGUUGAUUUUAUGAAGGGCUGAGUGUAACUUAAGCUUAAUUUACUUUUCAGUACUAAUUGGUGUCAGAUACUUUGGCAAGCUUAUUAAUCCUUUGGUUGAAAAAGUUGCGAAGGUUUUACUGAAAAUGAUUCUCAGAUCUGAUUUAGGCAUUGCCAGCCACUUAUUAGCUGUCCAUGUGUGAAACUAGUUUUACAAUGAGAGAGCUAUUUCUGAUGCACUUGAGAGUUAUUUCUGCAUUCAGUUUGUGAGAGCCUGGCUGGUAGUACUAAAGGAGUUUUCAGGAAUCAGCCUUCCCACACCAAUCAAUUCAGAGACCCAGAGCGCUAAGAAGGUGUGUUUUUUCACUUGGCUGGCAGUGAAAGAGAGAUUUUGACAGCUAAAAACUUGAGGAACAGGAGGAUUACAUAUAUCAGUUGGGGUUUUAUGUGUAAGAGUUUGGGCGAAGACGUGGACCACCACCAUUUACAUAGUGAGGUAGUAUCUUGCUUGUGAUGGAAAACCUUUAGAUAGUUCGGGCUUCAAUGGAUGAUGCCACGCACCGUGAAGGAAGCACUGUUCACCUAGACAUUUAGAAGAAAGAGAAGACAGAAGGUGUGGGAUGUUGCCCCACUAGAACUCAUGUGGAUUGUAUGGAAGAAAUAAGAGCUUGAAGGAAUAGAAAAUUAUUUUGCAUAUUUGAGGAAUAACCCCUUGUCCCUUAAGAUUCCAAUUUGGCACAAACAGGGCACAGCUAGAACCUUUUGAUUUCUUGCCUCUCUUCUUAUGUGCUAAUAUUGUUUUAUUGCUUGCAUUAAUGUCUUAUUUUAUCUUGAUUUUUUUGGACGCUUGCUUGGAUUGGUGGAUUUCUUCCUACGUGUGGUCUCAGUUGUCAAGGAUACAUGGUUGUUUAUUUAAGAUCUGACUCAAGGGUGCAUGUGGUUCUAACGGAAUAAGUUUCAUGCUUUUGUGUCUGUUGGCAAAGAUGCAGAGCACGGACAUUUUCUUUUCGUGUCUCUCUCGGCUUUCGGUGAACUGCUGUUCUUAUGGAAGUUCUCAAUUAAGCUUGAUUUUGUUUGUUGGACGGAGGGGUAGACCACACAGUGACCGUAAUAGAGAAUUACAUUUGCAAAGGUCAGUCUCCAGUUAUGCGCUACUGAGUCUGUUGUUUCUUGGUCUUUUUGGUGCUCGCAUUGUGAUGUGGAUCUUCAGCUUUGAGU